UACGUAGGGGGCGAGCGUUGUCCGGAUUUAUUGGGCGUAAAGAGCGUGUAGGCGGUUCGGUAAGUCUGUCGUGAAAUCCUGAGGCUCAACCUCGGGCGUGCGAUGGAUACUGCCGGGCUAGAGGGUGGUAGAGGCGAGUGGAAUUCCCGGUGUAGCGGUGAAAUGCGCAGAUAUCGGGAGGAACGCCAGUAGCGAAGGCGGCUCGCUGGGCCACACCUGACGCUGAGACGCGAAAGCUAGGGGAGCGAACAGG
rnacentral:rRNA from 1 species